rnacentral:rRNA from 1 species
CAGAUUUGGUCUGUUUCUAGUGGCGGACGGGUGAGUAACGCGUGGGUAACCUGCCUUAUACAGGGGGAUAACAACCAGAAAUGGUUGCUAAUACCGCAUAAGCGCACAGGACCGCAUGGUCCGGUGUGAAAAACUCCGGUGGUAUAAGAUGGACCCGCGUUGGAUUAGCUAGUUGGCAGGGUAACGGCCUACCAAGGCGACGAUCCAUAGCCGGCCUGAGAGGGUGAACGGCCACAUUGGGACUGAGACACGGCCCAGACUCCUACGGGAGGCAGCAGUGGGGAAUAUUGCACAAUGGGGGAAACCCUGAUGCAGCGACGCCGCGUGAAGGAAGAAGUAUCUCGGUAUGUAAACUUCUAUCAGCAGGGAAGAUAGUGACGGUACCUGACUAAGAAGCCCCGGCUAACUACGUGCCAGCAGCCGCGGUAAUACGUAGGGGGCAAGCGUUAUCCGGAUUUACUGGGUGUAAAGGGAGCGUAGACGGACUGGCAAGUCUGAUGUGAAAGGCGGGGGCUCAACCCCUGGACUGCAUUGGAAACUGUUAGUCUUGAGUGCCGGAGAGGUAAGCGGAAUUCCUAGUGUAGCGGUGAAAUGCGUAGAU